UCCAGAAAGACGCCUACAUGUCUGCGAGAAACAUUUCGAGUUAGAAAAUGAUUUGAAAGAUUACGACAAAUUUCAAAAUGGUAUUGGCUACAUGAAACUCAAACCUGAUGUAGUACUCAUCGCAAUAUCCCAGAAGCUAUUACUACAGAAGACAAAUAUCAAACUGGGUCGACCAAUAUGAAUUACAAUCCAUGUCUGGUGAAUCAGACCAAGGAGGU